UGGGGAAUUUUCCGCAAUGGGCGAAAGCCUGACGGAGCAAUACCGCGUGAGGGAGGAAGGCUCUUGGGUUGUAAACCUCUUUUCUCAGGGAAGAAUCCUGACGGUACCUGAGGAAUCAGCAUCGGCUAACUCCGUGCCAGCAGCCGCGGUAAUACGGAGGGUCCAAGCGUUGUCCGAAAUUACUGGGUGUAAAGGGUGUGCAGGCGGAGCAGUAAGUCAGAGGUGAAAGCCCGCGGCUCAACCGCGGAAUGGCCUUUGAUACUGCUGUUCUUGAGUCCCGGAGAAGCCAUCGGAAUUCGUGGUGUAGCGGUGAAAUGCGUAGAUAUCACGAGGAACACCAGAAGCGUAAGCGGAUGGCUAGACGGUGACUGACGCUCAGGCACGAAAGCGUGGGGAGCAAACAGGAUUAGAUACCCCGGUAGUCC
rnacentral:rRNA from 1 species